UUUUCAUUGGCAGUCGUUCGAGGAGUAGACGCGACAAUGCUUUUCUCUUCUAGCCCAGGGAGGGCAAGUCUUGCGCUGUAUAAAACAAAAAAACCUGUAUCCAAGAUUAAGAAACUAUCUAUUAUGAACCUCUCAUGUACCGAGGACGAUAAUGAGCUCCAGUGAAGACAUACCUUUCCAAAUGUUAUCAUUUGAUAGUGUAGCUCAUACCUGCAGUUCCAUAAUAUAUAAAUCAGUAGAACUUCUCCAGCUUACAGAGUCUGGGCCAAAGAUAUUUCUGGAUAGAUUCCAGAACUGGGUACCUGCAUGAAACAAAAUUAGAAUCAAGAGUAGCUCAUAAACUUCACUGUUGAUUGCUUGGCAUGUACUUACAAUUCAAG